AAGCAGCAUAUUGCUGGGGCUCUUAGUCUCUGCCCUGGCUGGUACCUCCUGGAAGUACAGAUGCCCUAAUAUCACGAGUCAAGCUAAGCUGCUCGGUGUCACAGCAAAGGAGGCUAAUGCAUUUGUUGGCAGUGACAGGAAGAGCCUCGGAAAUCUGAAUCGACAACUGAAAAGUCCUCGAUGAAAGGAGAAGAGGGGGAGCCAGAUAAUCAAUAAGGCAAGGAGGAAGCAGGAUAUUUGAUGUACAGCAGCAGCAGUGAAGGGCUGGGUUCUUUUUAUUUCAUCAUUUUAAAAACAUGGUUUAUAAACACCCUCUUGGAAUCUUGAAAGUAAUAUUCCAUUUGGGGUGCAGAUACCAUGUUGAUGAGCAUGCUUCAAAUGCCUAGCUAGCUACGAUACACCAACUGUCAAGUAGCUCAAACCUAAAUUAGGUUUUGUUGAAAAAUAGAAAAUCUAUUAUGAACAGAAACUUUCACUAUUUCCUUUUAUAUUUGCUAUGAAAACAGGGAGGUUGGAAAAAAAAAUUUAACUUCCCCUACAGUGUUUGAAAUCAGCCUCAGCUAGAGCAAAGGAAUCAGAAUGUGAACAGUGACUAGAAAUAAAACAGGAAAUUACCAGACCCUCUGAGCUGAGUAUAGUAGAAAAAGUAGGAAAAGUGGAAACUCAAUUAAAAAAAUUUCUUAAAUUGUACUAAUCUAAAUUGGAUCACAUACAUUUAUAACUGUACCAUGACAUAUCAAUAAAUAAAGAAAUAGCGUAUUGUCAAAAUGCUAUACAAUGCUGAAUAAAUAAAGUGUAGAGGGUUGUAUCAUUUUUUUUUUAAAGAGACAAG